GGGCGGGCCUUACAGGCUGGGGCUCCGGGAUUAAGCGCCGGGCAGCCUGGGGCUCGAGGAUUGGACAAGAGACGAACUGAAGGCGGAGGAGCCCCGGGACCAGAACUCUCCCCAACUUCACCUGUUGGGUGCGGUUGACUCGGAGGCGUCCUGGGCUCCCUGCUGGCCUCAGAAUGCGUUCCUGGCCUUACUCACCCUCCACAGUGCCCCAGGAGUAGCGGCGUCCCCUCACCGGUCGGGUCCCGCCGUCCCUCACUACUUCGCAGGAACCGACGACGGCGAAAGGGAUACUUUCCUAGAGGGCAGGAGUCAGCGAUCACCGUUGGCCCCCUUUGGGCAGAAACCUCUUUCUCAGCUCCCGCCUCCACAUCCGCCUCCCCUGGCUUCUCUGUCCCUUCCUCCUUCGCCUCGGCACCUUCAUCUCCGCAUCCUGCCUCUUGAAGUCUUCAUCCUCAUCAGAGUCACAAUCGGGGAACUGAUAGAUAUUGAUGUCCUCCUCCUGCAACUGUUCCCGGAUCUUGGAGGAGACAGAUGCAGAGACGGGGACACGGGUUCGGGCCCUGGUCUGGGAAGAUCCCACAUGCUGCGGAGCAACUAGGCCCGUGAGCCACAACUACUGAGCCUGCGC